GUUUCUGUCGUGUAGUGGUUAUCACCAGUGGCCUAAUACGCGAAUGGUCCCCUGUUUGAAUCCGGGCAGAAACA